rnacentral:rRNA from 1 species
AUGAAGCUGGAUUCGCUAGUAAUCGCGCAUCAGCCACGGCGCGGUGAAUACGUUCCCGGGCCUUGUACACACCGCCCGUCAAGCCAUGGAAGCCGGGGGUGCCUGAAGUGCGCUGCCGCAAGGAGCGCCCUAGGGUAAAACCGGUGACUGGGGCUAAGUCGUAACAAGGUAUC